UUCCAUAGCCGCACUUUCCCGCCUCAGGGUCAUGGCUUCACAAGGUAGUCGGUGAUUCCGCAGAGCAAAAUUAUUAGUAGUUUUAUUAGAGUCCAUUAAACGUUGCAUAAACAUGGUUCAGAGCAGCUUGGGAGGAGAAAAGCCAAAGAAUGCCGCCCCCUCGACCUGUUCCACCCGCCCGGAGGCCGAGUCUGAAAGCUGACGCCAGGAGAAAUCCCGUGAAGGCCGCCCGGGAUCCUGGUAGAGGCGGCGCUGUGCGCGUUUAUGGAGCGCUUGCUAUGGACAGAAGUGAGGACAUUCAUCGGCCGCGUUUUACCAAUGGCAAGGAGUUAGUGACUGAAGGGCAGGAAUCCGGGGUUUGCUGUCUUCGGUUUCUCAUCUCUGGGGUUAAUUUCCCCAAACUGCAUGUCUGGGGAAUAACCUUGUGGUUAUGACGAAAUUCCCGAAGGAAAGGCAAGGUGCAAAGACUAUGAAGACUUAGAACUUCAGACAUCUAUGGAGAUCUUCAGAGAUAUAAAUUAGCUACUCAACCUAUCUAUUCUGCCCUGAUUACACUGUAAAGCAAAAGGAGAGAGACCCUUAUGGGGAAAAAGAUCCAGAAGGACUCAUCUAAACCACAAGUUGCGUAGAGGAGAUAGGUAAGUUCUAUUAUAUUAUGUUCAUGGAAAGUAAGAUGAUAGGCUUUCCUCUGAUUUUUAUUUUAAAAUAAAUGUAAAUAUGAAAUAAAAUUAUGUGU